rnacentral:rRNA from 1 species
UACGAGGGGGGCAAGCGUUGUUCGGAAUUAUUGGGCGUAAAGGGCGCGUAGGCGGUGCGGUAAGUCACCUGUGAAACCUCUAGGCUCAACCUAGAGCCUGCAGGCGAAACUGCCGUGCUUGAGGGUGGGAGAGGUGCGUGGAAUUCCCGGUGUAGCGGUGAAAUGCGUAGAUAUCGGGGGGAACACCUGUGGCGAAAGCGGCGCACUGGAC